AUUGAACGCUGGCGGCAUGCUUUACACAUGCAAGUCGAACGGUAACAGGCCGCAAGGUGCUGACGAGUGGCGAACGGGUGAGUAAUACAUCGGAACGUGCCCAGUCGUGGGGGAUAACUACUCGAAAGAGUAGCUAAUACCGCAUACGAUCUAUGGAUGAAAGCGGGGGACCGUAAGGCCUCGCGCGAUUGGAGCGGCCGAUGUCAGAUUAGGUAGUUGGUGGGGUAAAGGCUCACCAAGCCAACGAUCUGUAGCUGGUCUGAGAGGACAACCAGCCACACUGGGACUGAGACACGGCCCAGACUCCUACGGGAGGCAGCAGUGGGGAAUUUUGGACAAUGGGCGCAAGCCUGAUCCAGCAAUGCCGCGUGCAGGAAGAGGGCCUUCGGGUUGUAAACUGCUUUUGUACGGAACGAAACGGCUCUGGUUAAUACCCGGGGCUAAUGACGGUACCGUAAGAAUAAGCACCGGCUAACUACGUG
rnacentral:rRNA from 1 species